UGAAUAUAUAGAAGGAUAGAGUUCAUGAAUGUCGAGUUGCGUUCGACUUUAAUGAAUAUUUAAUUAGUCUACAUCAUGUGUUCUAUCACGUUUCAUAACAUAUGACAUUAUAUCAAUAGACAUUUUUUUUCUUUUCUUAUAUUCUUUAUCGUGAUUUUAAAUUUUCUAAAAAUCGAAAAAAUCGUAUCAGCUUAUAUCAGAAAUCGUUUUCUUAACUGUUGAUUCAAACUAUUCUUGAUUUUUCUCUCGAGAUCGCAAUAAAAGAAUAUCAAGCACGUUCUGCAUUUAGAAUAAGCUAUUAAUAGUAUUAGAACGGUUUUGCUUAUUAGAAAAUCCGUCGGUACGUAUACACGUGUGCUCCGACAAAAUAGGUUACGGUCGUGCAAUCUGGAAGUAAUUUUUCACGUUCCAUUAUCUAUGUAUUGUGAAAUAAUUGUGUAAGUACAUCGAUAGAAAGAAUAUUCAACAUAAAAAAAAAAGAAAAAGAAAAAAAGAGAAAAGGAAGUAAGGUCAACAUCGAAGAAAUCAAACAAUCGAACGAUUCGUAAAGUUCAAAUGAUAAUAAGAUCCAGAAAAUUAAAGGAAUGUAAGUAUUUCCGGAAGGAAUAGAAAACAACUACAUAGAGUUAUCUUCAAAAGUACGACUCAUGGAAAGAGGACGAUUUUACGUAGUAUAUUAGUAGGCCACGACGAAAAUAUCGGAGAGUUGGAAAAGAGAGGAAGGAGAGAGAAAAAGAAAAAGUAAAAGAAAGAAAAUGAAAAAGAGAAAGAGAGAGAGAGAGAGAGAGAGAGAGAGAGAGAGAGAGAGAAAGAGAGAGAGAGAUAGAGAGAGAGAGAGAGAGAGAGAGAGAGAGAGAGAGAAAUAAAAGAGACUAGUAAUAGCCACCAUCUCUAAACGACAUUGACCGCGCCCGAAUCCAUGCAAGCCGUUCCCCGUUCUCUUUAUCCUUCGCGGUGGUCGUUAAGGUCGCAUUUAGAGAAGUACUUUACGGACGCAUUUAGGUGCGGCUCACCAUACAUCGUCGUACCCCCGUCUCAUGGUUCGCUUUUGUGUCACGCAGUCGUUCAGCUUUAUCAUCGCAAGCCUUUUCUUGAGAUUCUCAUCUAUUCUCACUUUGCUACUGUUACAAAUUUUACUUUCAUUUUUCUUCACCAUCUUUUCAAUUGGAAGAAAUUUAUAAUAUUUUCUAUUACAAUUUGAAAACAUUUAAUUCAAAGUGAAAAUAUUUCUCAGAUUCUUUCGUAUCUCCAUGUAUAUUAUUUAACAAUAUUUUGAAAUAGUUUUUAAUAUAAUCUCAUUUUGGCUUGUCCGUAAGUUGAGAAAAAAAAAGUAACAAGCACGGCACGACUCCUUGCAUAUAUCGCGCGUUUGGCGUGCAGAAGUAUCUGAUUUCUGUAAUAUGUAUACCGGAAGUCUGACACUUGGCUCAUAAAGGAACACAUUUGCCACGCCUAGAUAGAAAUAGAGUAGAAUGCGUGUAACGCGGUAGGAAAGGAUCGACGUUCGUCGUUCUUUUCUCCUCCUCUUUCUUCCCUUUUUUCUAUUUUUUUUUUUUUUUUUUUUUUUUUUUACGGCGCUCCCAUGUUUGUCAGCAACGUACAUCCCCCGAUCGCCGUAUAGUUUUACCAGUGAAGCUAGCAGGACGAUAAAGUCAUCCGAGCUUUUCUCAUUAGCCUACGUAUCGUUACUCUUCACGAAAAUAUUCACUCUGCCGAUCGAUAACAGAGAACGAUUCAUCGUUUCCUAUCGAAAGGUACAUAAUAUUUUCUUUAGUUAAAUAAUAAUUAUUUUUCAAAGAUAAUCGAGAUAACUCGAGAAAUUGUUCAAAAUAUCAACUAUAGUUCUUAAAUAUACCUAUCUAUAAUGAUUAGAUAAAUUAUCACUAUUUAUCGAUUUUUAUAUAUUUACCUUUGUUUGGAUCAACAUCAAAUAACUCUACGAAAAUAUUUGAUUAAUUAAUUGAUUGGAGUGUAAUGUAAUAUGUGUAACUUAAUGGAAAAAUAAUUCUAAAGGAAUUAUUUUUUUUAAAAUAAUUUAUGCGCUUAUUAAAUCAGUUUUCUUAUUUUUAUUAAACGCUACAUAUGUAAGUCUUAUAUUUUUCUUUUUCUCUCUCUCCGUCUAGAUCUUAAGUUUUACAUAAUCUUGCGUCAUUUCUUGCAGAUCAGGUUUAGGGUCGAACAAACAUACUUAUACGUCGUAUCAGAUCAUUUUUAAACGUUUUCCUGCAAAUACGAUUGGCGUCCUAAGUUCGUUUUUUUUGUCAGCAAUAUCGACAUUGCUUGCACUCGAUGUUUACGCCAUUCGAGUCCGAUUCCUUUAUGAGCGAUUUCGGUAUCGCUUUGUAGAUUUAUUUGCUCUUCCAAGACUCCUAUCGAACUUGUGAUUCGAUUUCAACGAAAGCAGCAUAGCAAAUAAUUUCAAAUAAUUUCAGACGAUGAAAAAAAAGAAUGAAAAAGAAAAUUUCAAUAUAGAAGAGGCACGGAAGAAUAUUAUAAUAUUCGAGGAAGGGAAAGACGAUAAAACCGGAGCACAACUCGGUUGGCAACACGAGCAGCAAUUUAUUAUGAGAGAACGAUAUCGAGAAGAGUCGUAUGUGUCUGUCACGAUAUCUCGGGUUAUCGGUUUCAAGGAGUCAACUUGUAAGGGAGAGGGAGCAGUAACUAUGAAAGAUCAAGUCGGUUCACGGGUCAUCAAGAGGACCGGUGGACUCUUGUCGAUUUACCCAACUUACAUAGCUUGUAACUACCAGGGUACAGAGAGAGAAAGAAAAGGAGAAAGAGAGAGAGAGAGAGAGAGAAAAUGAUCUUUUUUCUUAAUUUAGCAAUAAGUCACGGCUAAUACGAUUCCAUAAGAAAGAAGAAAAAUCUACAACAUAAUCCUAAUUCGUAUGCGAAGAUAAUGAAAUAAUUACGAUUCGUUCAUGUAAAUUUACUUAUGUACCUAAAUACACGUAUACGGAUACUGCACGUGUUCCUCUUGAAUAUUUAUGUUACGGCAAAAAUUCAUCGAUAUUCAUCUCCUAGCUCGUUCUCUUUUUCUGUCUGUCUCUCUCUCU